rnacentral:miRNA from 5 species
UCACAGCCAGCUUUGAUGGGC